GACGAACGCUGGCGGCGUGCCUAAUACAUGCAAGUCGAACGCAGUGGGGACGGGUGAGUAACACGUGGGUAACCUCCCAUCAGAGGGGAUAACACUUGGAAACAGGUGCUAAACCGAUACUGAUGUAUGGACCGGCGGUGCAUUAGCUAGUUGGUGAGGUAACGGCUCACCAAGGCCACGAUGCAUAGCCGACCUGAGAGGGUAAACGGCAAAACUGGGACGAGGACACGGCCAAGAUUCCUACGGGAGGAAGCAGGAGGGAAUUUUGGACAAUGGAGGAAAGCCUGACCGAGCAAGCCGGCGUGUAUGAAGAAGGUUUUCGGAUUGUAAAGUUCUUUUGUAAGAGAAGCGGUAUCUAAACAGAAAGCAACGGCUAACUACGUGCCAGCAGCCGCGGUAAUUC
rnacentral:rRNA from 1 species